UGGGGAAUAUUGCGCAAUGGACGAAAGUCUGACGCAGCGACGCCGCGUGAGGGAUGAAGGUCUUCGGAUCGUAAACCUCUGUCAGGAGGGAAGAAUGGUAUGUCUGCUAAUCAGGACAUAUUUGACGGUACCUCCAAAGGAAGCACCGGCUAACUCCGUGCCAGCAGCCGCGGUAAUACGGAGGGUGCAAGCGUUAAUCGGAAUUACUGGGCGUAAAGCGCACGUAGGCUGUUUUUUAAGUCAGGGGUGAAAUCCCACGGCUCAACCGUGGAACUGCCUUUGAUACUGGAAGACUAGAGUAUGGUAGAGGUUGGCGGAAUUCCAGGUGUAGGAGUGAAAUCCGUAGAUAUCUGGAGGAACAUCAGUGGCGAAGGCGGCCAACUGGUCCAAGACUGACGCUGAGGUGCGAAAGCGUGGGGAGCAAACA
rnacentral:rRNA from 1 species